rnacentral:rRNA from 1 species
UACGUAGGGUGCAAGCGUUUGUCCGGGAAUUUAUUGGGGCGUAAAGAGCUCGUUAGGCGGUUUGUCGCGUCGAAUUGUGAAAUCCCCGGGCUUAACCUGGGAACUGCAGUCGAGAACUGUCUAGCUAGAGUAUGGGAGAGGGAAGUGGAAUUUCAGGUGUAGCGGUGAAAUGCGUAGAUAUCUGAAGGAACAUCAGUGGCGAAAGCGACUUCCUGGACCAAUACUGACGCUC